CAGGCUUGGCAAGUGAGAAGCGGUACCAGGGGAAGUAGCCCAUCAGUCUGCCACGGAGAGCUGUUGAGGCUGGGCAGCCGUGGGGAAAAAUCCCUGCAAGCACCAGCAAAGGUCUUUAAGAAAAGGGGGAAAAAAGCCCAAACAAAACCCCAAAUCCCCUCUCUGUAAAGACAAUGUAUUGGGAAUGUUGCUUAGGGGCUGCGUGACAUGCUCUUCAGCGUUGGCCCUGAAGAAAGGCUGCUGGCAAAGUCCCAGAGGGUGGUGUGCAAGACAAAUUCAGACAAGGCUGUUAAAGGAGGAAAGGGAGGAAUUGUGCUUUGUCCAACACAACACAAACCCACUCGAACGUACAGCAAUGCACGAGAGCUGAGGGCUUAGACAAGUGCUAGCAUGCAGGAGAAAAUCUGACAUGCUUGCCUGUGCAUGUGAGGAGAAACUGAUUUAAUUAAGCAGGCAAGGGAUUUCUCCUAGAUCCUUUACAACUGAAGGGAGGUUGCAAUAGUGGUGAGAUGGAUGGAGCUCGUGUUUGGACCAGGCAUCUGCAACACGUACCAGGAAGAACUUCAGUUUUGUGCUCCACAUACCUGGAGAACAGUCUGGCUACAGAUGCAAGCUGAUGAAAUGGUAAUGCUUCUCUAAUGUAUGAUUUAUUUCUCAUGGCUACCUAUGAAUGUAUAAGACUGAAAAGAGCCACAGUUUGAGAGACAGCUAUCAGAUGAAGAAGUCAUGGUACACUAUCUUUUUCUAUAGGUUCCGUACUUUAACCGACUCUGAUUUGCUAUAUGAGUAAGGUAAAAUUUGACUCAGGUGGAAGGCAACUUCAGUGACCACAGAGAAGGGCAAUGAGAUGCUGGACUGUACAGAUCGAGCAGAAAUGAAAAAGUUUCACUGUGGAGGAACUGAGAUAAAAAGUAUUAGAAGAAAACAUGUGAGUCACAGAAAAUGACAUUUGGACCAAUAAAUGAGGAGUGUGGGCAAAUUAACUGAAGACAUGUGGCACAAGUUCUGAAAUAAGAGCAACAAAAAAAGAAAGAUGAGAUGAGAGGGAUGCAGUGAAAAGAAGGAACUGAACAACAAUUGUGCUAGGUUUGGAAUGGGCUGCUAGCUAGUGGGAAAAAUACUGGAUGCAGCUGGACAAAUUACUGCAUUUCAGAUGGAUUUUGCAGCUGGGAUGGAGACAUAAAGCUCUUGUCACCAGGACUCUUUCCCUUGAUUUAUAACCUGGUCACCCAUCUAUCUCUGAAUAUCACUUUCUCUGUAGUGUACAGUUCUGAAAUUGUGCCCCUCAAAACUGGGAAAGUCAUUAGAACAAUAAAGAAAAAUAUAGAGUUCUUUCA